rnacentral:rRNA from 1 species
AGGGCACCACCAGGAGUGGAGCCUGCGGCUUAAUUUGACUCAACACGGGAAAUCUCACCAGGCCCGGACACCGGAAGGAUUGACAGAUUGAGAGCUCUUUCUUGAUUCGGUGGGUGGUGGUGCAUGGCCGUUCUUAGUUGGUGGAGCGAUUUGCCUGGUUAAUUCCGAUAACGAACGAGACUCUGGCCUACUAACUAGACGUUGGAUCCCUUUGUGGGUCCAUCGCAGCUUCUUAGAGGGACGGGCGGCGUUUAGCCGCACGAGAUUGAGCAAUAACAGGUCUGUGAUGCCCUUAGAUGUUCUGGGCUGCACGCGCGCUACACUGAAGGAAUCAGCGUGUGUUCCCUAUCCGAAAGGAUUGGGAAACCCGUUGAACCUCCUUCGUGAUGGGGAUUGGGGAUUGCAAUUAUUCCCCAUGAACGAGGAAUUCCCAGUAGGCGCGAGUCAUAAGCUUGCGUCGAUUACGUCCCUGCCCUUUGUACACACCGCCCGUCGCUACUACCGAUCGAGUGAUUUAGU